AGAUGUUAAAACAAAGCAGAAGAGAUAAUUGGGAUUUGGGAGUGGAUUUUCAUUUCAACUAACCUGAAACUUCAAGGAUCGCGUUUUAACAUCAUUAAUUAGCAACAGAUUUGUUCAGAGAUUCUCUAAUUCUUGAUUUUGGGCCAACUAAAGAAACAUUGUAAUCAUGGAAUUGACUAAUCAAAAGCAACUAAAGGGGGAAAACAGCAUGAGUGAGCAGGCAACAGAUAGGAUCACCGAUUUACCCGACUCACUUCUUCAUCAUGUCUUAUCUUUAUUAGAUAUCAAGGAGGUUGUUCGUACUAGCAUGUUAUCUAAAAGAUGGUACAACAUUUGGAUCUCUAUCCCCACCCUUGAUUUUCGAAGUUUGAGUGAUCCUUUUGAUCAUGAGGAGAGAACUAGCAUUGAAACUUAUCAGGAGAGUAGUAAAUUCAUGGAUAUAGUGGAUAAAAUAUUGCGUCUUCAUGAUACGUCAAGUAUACAGAAGUUGUUUCUUUGUUGGAAUUACCACUUGAGUGCAUCUCGGGUUAUUUUAUGGAUCUUCGAAGUAAUAAGGCGCAAUGUUGAAGAGCUUCAUCUCAGCUUAGUCCUAAAUUCAACCCUUUAUUCCCCUUUGUCUCUUUGUACUUGUGAAUCAUUGGUUACCCUGGAGCUAGAUAUCUUCCCUAACCUUUGUCUACCUAACUAUGUGUCUUUUCCUAAACUCAAGCACUUUAAACUCUCUCGAGCCAUAUUUAGCAGUAAGUACAACAGUGAGCAAUUCUUCUCCAAUUGUCCUGUCCUUGAGAAUUUGACACUGGAAAAAUGUGAAUGGUUUGACAUAAGGAAGUUUUGUUUGUCAACUCCUUCAUUAAAAGUUUUGAAAAUUAGUCAUUUGGAUGAUUUUGGCGAGAAAUAUGGUUUAGAAAAUUGUGCUUUCGAAAUUCAUGCACCUCUAGUGUCUCUCACCUACUGGGGUGAUGUUGCUAAGGAAUUUGUCAUGUCUAACUCUUCAACGCUAGCUGAAGUAGAUGUUGACUUUGGCUUCGAAGAUUAUGAUAUAUCGACAAAUGGAUGGUUCGACCAGGGUGCCAACAUAAGUAAGUUUCUUCGAGCACUUUCACAUGUAAAGUGUCUAACAAUUUCUAAUGGGAUCCUAGAGGUUCUCUCGUUCACACACGAUCUCAUGAAAUUAUUUCCUGCAUUUGACAAUUUGGUGAAGUUGCAUAUGAUUCAUACCGCAUCCAACUAUAAAGCAUUAAUUGCUUUGUUGCAAUUAGCACCUAAUCUGGAGUCCCUUUCAUUUUCCCAGAUAGGUGCUCGGUCCUACGAAAAAGAAUCUGAUGAUGACAACCCACCUUACCACUAUGGUGUUGGCUGGGAACUUGAUUUGAUCAGUACUAAGUGUUUGUUUCCACACCUGAAGUCGGUUUCCUUUAAGUACUUUGGGGGUGACCUUAGCGUGGUAAGGUUGGCGGAAUUAGUUUUGAAACAAGCAACAGCAUUGGAAAUAAUGACUUUCAUUUCUCCAGAGGUAGACGCGAAAUUUAUUAUGGAGAAUUUAGCAAGUCUUCCAAGAGCCUCAGCUAGUUGCGUGUUUAACUUCCCCUGAGACGUCAUAGGGAUGCUUGUUCCUUUGAGUUAGAAAUUAAUGUGUGUUGUUCUCGGUGUCUGAGAUCGUGUGGAACUUUUGAUAUAUUCUCAAAAUUCAACCAUCAUAAUCUGGGGAACGCAUCAAGUAAAUAGUCAGAGACAUCAUGUUCAUAACUUCUGAUAUUGUGUCUUCGGCACUCGAACAUCUUUGUAGCUGAAGUACUAAUGCAGUUUGGUAACCUCUUGUUCAUAUCUGUCAUGUUAUUUAUGAAUUUACCAGUGUACUACACCCUGGAAGAUUAAGAACUAAGGAGAUUUAUGGCAAAUCCUUCCAGAGUCUUGCCUAAUUCGAAACUCUCCCAAGUUAUGAACACUCCAACCUAAGUUCAAAGUAGGCUUCCUUUGUGGGUCAAACUCGCGACUACCCUCAGGCCUCAACAUUCCAAAAAAGAGUGUGAAAAUAGGAAAAGAUCUCAAAAGCAGAGGAGACAAUAAUACAGACUGGAAUCCUGGAUUAAGAUUUUCAUCUAAUAAUAAUUAGCUUUCCGGUCAGAGAUUCUCAAAUUCUUGAUUUUGGGCUAAGAUAAGAUUUUCUCAUUUACAUAUGGCUGAAU